UCAAUCUCCCUUCUGUCUUGCAUGCUCUUAUUACAAAGUGAGUUUCAUCCUCCUGCUAUCAAAUGUGUGGUUUUGACCUGGAAAAGGAAAGGUGAGAAGGUCUUUAUUUCCUGUUCUUGAAUCUGGGAAGGCUCUGAGACUUAUGAGGCUAAUGCAUAAAUAGUUUAAAGAAUUUUAGCUGAUUCUCCUAAUACACUCGCUAUUGAGAUGCAGUCACUAUGCUGUGAGGAAGCCCAUGUAACAAUGUGGAGAUUCUGAAGUGAGUUCUGGGUUCUAAGCCAACAGCCUAAAUACUUUAGGUCCAUUAUUUAGGUCCAAGUUCAACCACUAGACCUGUACUUCGCAAGCCUUCAGAGGAUUCCUGCUUUCAGCCCGCAAGCUUUUUCAGCUGAAGCCCCCAGUAUCAUGGAACAGAAUCAGAUUAUUUCCACUGAGUCCUUUUCAAUUUCUUAACCCACAGGAUUUAUGAGCAUUAUGAAGUCAUUAUGGCUUUCUGCCACUAGGCUGAGAGUGGACCACAUAUACAGAAAUAAAAAACUAUUAAUAGAAAAAUAUAUUGCAAACAUCUAAUCCUCAAACCCCAUUCAAGUUUUGCCAACUACCCUCCAUCCUAUCAAAUAUUCCUUAUACCAAAAAGAUCCAGUUCAAAAAUAAGUGUUGCAUUUAUUUUUUAACCUCUUUUGAUCUGGAAUAGCUCCUCACACCGUCUUUCAUGACUUUAGUGCUUUGGAAGACUACAGAUGUUUAGGCUCAUCUGAAAUUUCCCUGCCGUCACCUGGGAAUCAACCAUUUCUUCAGGGAGUCCUAGUUUCUUUUAGCGUAUAGCCACCAAUUUCUACUGAGUAUUUAUCUACUAUAUGGCAGGUCAAGUCUGCAUUCUGGGAUAAAGUGUUGACACAAUCUUGAAUCAGUGCCUAAGGAGUUCACAAGUCCAGAGAGGGGAUAGCGCAUAGAUAAGAGAGCUGAAGAAGAGUGAAAAUAAAGAAACUUCUGCAAAGCCACACAUGUAAUAGGAAGCAAGGGACAACAGAAGCCUAGAAUUCCUGGUGAGCCAGAUUUCCAAGGCUCAAGAAAGCCAUCCAAGGAAAAUAGAAUCUCUCCUGUGCAUGCUCCUCAUUGCACUGCUGCUGAAGGACCCCAGAAAGCACUCCCCUCUGAGUUAUAUGCCCUGGGGAUAAUUGGCAUUGCUGGACUGAAGUUUGGCAGGACAUCCUGUUCCAGAAGGAAGCAGAACAGAGUACAGCCUGCUGUGGACAGUUCCUUUUUGUCUCAGGAUGCUUCAUUCGCAGCAUAUUCUACAAUUAUUCUGAGAGCUACAAGCAAGAAAGACGAGGGAGAACUGGGUUAGCUAAGAAAUAUAUUUCUGGCAACAGUGGAGAAGAAUGAUAGGAAGAGAAUCAUACUGGAAUAGUAUAGUCCUUUGGAAUGUUGUUGUAAUGAAGGCAAGAAGAAAAAUGAUCUUGAAGGCAAGAAGAAAAAUCAUAUUGAAGGAAAGGAGAGAUGAGUUUACCAAAUAUAAUCUCAGAAUUGUUCUGUAAAUUUCAUUUCUGCUUUAGCAGCCAUAAAGAGCUCCAUUUAUUACAGUAGGAACAGAGGCAACAGCAACAUGGGUGGCUGGCAGUGAUAGAAAGGAUUUUAGUUUUGAUACAUGGAAUUUGACAUGCUUUUUGAAAAUCUUCAGAUGGUGAUGUACAAACUACUGCAGGAACAUAUGAGGAAAGAUGAGAGAAUCCACAGACUCUUUGAAGGAAGCAGAUUGCUCCUGCAGGGCCUGGGAGACAACCAAACACUGGGUCCUUAGGGAGAGGUGCCAGAGGAAUUGGAAAAAGGCCACAGGCAGAAGGAAGGCUCCAGCUAAACUUGAUUGACCCAUCAUUUGGAUGACCCGAAACCACAGAUGCAAUAGAAGAAUGGAACAAAUUUGUACAUUUUGUCAAUAAAAACUUUAUCUUCA
rnacentral:lncRNA from 1 species